rnacentral:rRNA from 1 species
GGUUUCCGUAGGUGAACCUGCGGAAGGAUCAUUGU